GUUGAAACACUGGUUUCGUACGAUCACCGAAUUAAGCAGCGUCGAGCCAGGUCAGUACCCAGAUGGGUGACCGCUUGGGAAUACCAGAUGCUGUAAG
rnacentral:rRNA from 1 species